rnacentral:lncRNA from 1 species
AUGGAGGGACUGCACCCACCACCCUCCCCUCCCUGCUCGGCCCUUCUGCCUUCCCUGCUCUUCUUAUUUAUCCUGCUCUGCAGCCUCGUCUCAGGAGAAGCCGGGAAGGAAAGCAAAGGGAUUUUUCCAGGACCGGAAAAAGUCAAGAGCUGGAAUGUGUCCCCCAAAAGUGGGGCAGCUUAUGAGAACUUCAGUUUCCACCGUCUUAAGGUCUCGCGGAACCUGGUUUGGACAAAACGGCACCGACAAAGAGCCUCGAAUUGGCCAAAAUGGCUUUCAGGUGGAUUCAGACAUUUAGCCGGGCAGCCGGAGACAACAACUCCGCCUCCCUCCGUAUCGAAGCCCGAGACCCCCGUCUCGACCCCUGUUUCGACCCCGGAGGUCAGGGCGGGAUGCCGGUGCCCGGAGGAGGCAGAGGUGGCCAAAGCGCAGCAGGGGAAGGCAGAGGAGGCCCGUCGGAGGGGUGUCCGCCUCCCGACGCCUCGGACGGAGGAGGCCGCCUGGGCCGCCAGCGCCUUGACCUUCCUGCUGGUGGUGCUGACCGUGGCCAUCCUCUACACCCGGCUCCACCGCAAAUGUCGCCGCGGGCGUAGUCUCUACUGGAUGGUCAGCGGCGAGGAGGACCGCGAGACCGUGGCCGGUGAGUCUGCUGCUCUUUAUGAACAGAUAAUAGUAAGAAUAAACGUUAUUGUCGAAGGCUUUCACGAGGAUGCCUGCCAUAGAUGUGGGCGAAAUGUCAGGAGAGAAUGUUUCUGA